rnacentral:rRNA from 1 species
UUUUUACAACGGAGAGUUUGAUCCUGGCUCAGGAUGAACGCUAGCGGUAGGCCUAACACAUGCAAGUCGAACGGUAACAGAAAGAGCUUGCUCUUUGCUGACGAGUGGCGAACGGGAGCGUAACACGUAUGCAACUUACCCUAUACUGGGGACUAGCCCAGAGAAAUCUGGAUUAAUACCCCAUAUUAUCAUGGAUUCGCAUGUUUCUAUGAUGAAAGCUUUUGCGGUAAAGGAUAGGCAUGCGGCCCAUUAGUUAGUUGGUGAGGUAACGGCUCACCAAGACAACGAUGGGUAGGGGGUCUGAGAGGAUGAUCCCCCACACUGGUACUGAGACACGGACCAGACUCCUACGGGAGG